CCUACGGGUGGCAGCAGUGAGGAAUAUUGGUCAAUGGGCGAAAUCCUGAACCAGCCAAGCCGCGUGAGGGACGACGGCCCUAUGGGUUGUAAACUUCUUUUGUCGGGGAACAAAACCAGGCUCGUGAGCCGGACUGCGUGUAUCCGAAGAAAAAGCAUCGGCUAACUCCGUGCCAGCAGCCGCGGUAAUACAGAGGAUGCGAGCGUUAUCCGGAUUUAUUGGGUUUAAAGGGUGCGUAGGCGGUCUGUUAAGUCAGCGGUAAAAUUGCGGGGCUCAACCCCGUCGAGCCGUUGAAACUGGCAGACUUGAGUUGGCGAGAGGUACGCGGAAUGCGCGGUGUAGCGGUGAAAUGCAUAGAUAUCGCGCAGAACUCCGAUUGCGAAGGCAGCGUACCGGCGGCAGACUGACGCUGAGGCACGAAAGCGUGGGGAUCGAACAGGAUUAGAUACCCUUGUAGUC
rnacentral:rRNA from 1 species